rnacentral:rRNA from 1 species
CCUNCUUUAUGUUGAUGACUGUGAUAACGUAAGGGAAAAAAAUGAUAUUACCUUACUAUUAGUGUUGUCCAAAACUGGUGCCAGAAGACUCGGUAAGGCCAGAGACGCAAACGUUAGUCGUCCUAAUCAGGCGUAAAGGGUGUGUAGGCUGCUUUAAAAUUUUAUUUUUCUUUUUAUUUUUAAAUAAAAAGGUUAGCUCUUAUAACAAUUUAUAAAAUAUAAAAUGUUUUAAGUUUAAAAUAUUAUGAAUUAAAGCUAGAAUCAAAUUGAAGAUAAUCAAAAUAAUACUUAGGGUAGGGUUUAUAUCCGUAGAUUCUAAGGGGAAUACUAAAGGCGAAAGCUUUUUAUCUAUUACUGAUUGACGCUGAGAAACGAAGGUGAGAAUAGGAAAUAGGAUUAGAUACCCAGAUACCUCUCACUGUCAACGAUGAAUGGUGGUUGUUAGUUUUAAUUAAAACUGGUAACGAUGUUAACACGAUAACCAUUCCGCCUUGCGAGUACGGUUGCAAAACUGAAACCAAA